CCGGGGACGUGAGGCCUGCAGGAGCAGAACCCGGGUUAGUCUUUAGUCCAUCAGUGGAACGUUCAGUCAAAGCAGACGCGCAGUGACGUCUUUACAGGUUCAGGAGAGUCGAACUACUGAAAAAUGUGUUAAUUUACUGAAAAAAGUGACGUUCUGGAAGCGGUAACUUCCUUUACCCACAUGAAAAAGCAGAGGAGCUGUGGCUCUGUGGCUUUGGGGUUCUAACCUGUGACCCUAGAGCAAGGAACCAAAGCCAUGUCGCUCCUAAGAAACCUGAAAAUCUGUGUGGAGCGUCCGGUAAUCAUGUAAAGCUCAGAGAGCCGGGUGGGCUUGAUGAAGAAGAGCUGAUCGUUCCGUGAGGUGAUGAAGAUCGUUCAGAAACAACUUUCUGCCCUUUGAUGGACGGACGAACGCUUCAGCAUCAUCUGAGACUGUUGUCCCUGACCCUGAAGACCGCUGGACCCAGCUUUCCUGUCAGACCUUCAGCUUCUGUCUGUCAGAACCACGGACUCGUCCUUUUUGGACCAACAGCUUUAGAGUCAUUCCGGUGGGAAAACCUGAAUUUCCUCCUUUGAUCCUUCAUUUUUCAGCUUAAUGUUUUUGUCUGUUUCCUGUCAAUCACCUUCUAAAACAGCGAAUCAAAGGGAGAAACUCUCAGAAUCGGGAAAAUCCAGUGAAGCUUACCCAAAAUGGGGAAGAAUACCCAUCAAACCACUGCACCUCCUAGAUUACGUUCAUUCAAAACAAAAAACAUCCCUGAAUUUUUUUUUCAUUGAUCGAAAUAAAUUCAGGCGCCAAUUGGGUUAAAUUUAAAGUUCUAUUUGUUUUACUCGUUUCUAUCAAUCUGUGAAAACAGUGAACCUCUAUAUAGAAUCACUGAUAGUUAUUCAGUAAGUAACUAAUUACUUCCAUUACAGAGUAAUUCCGUUACUUAGUAACUGUUUGGAAUAAGUGGUGGGUAAAUAUUGACUUUUUUUAGAAUAAGGUUUCCCAGCAUUGCUGAUAAACACUAACUGAAGCCUGUCCUGGUGCUUCCAUCAGCUGGGAUGGGUGACGGGUCCCAAACCCCCCAGAAGAACCGAAGCCGGAGGGACUUCAGGGUUACUGAAGACCACUGAAGGUUGAUGCGACAUGAAGGUCACUAAACACCGACAAUGAAAGCAGCAGAAGAAAGAUGAAGGGAAUCCAACGGCAGGCUGCUCAGCUCGGAGGUCUUCCACCGUCUCCAUCAGAGGUCCUGCUCCGCCGUGUCCUCCUGAUGAAACAUCCCAGCAGGUUUCUGCAGGCUGCAGGACUUUGUGAGUUCACAGACAAACCCAAGACCCCCCAAUACCCACCACCAUGACGGGCAAAUGACGGCCGAGUGCGACUUCACAGCUGCGUGCAACAGGAAGUGUGUGAGAAACGAGUCGACCAGAGUCAAACAGCAACUUCCUGCAGAAGUUCCUAAAUCCACAGGGAGCAGAGGGCAGGUGAACCCCCCCAGUGGACCCAGCUUGGGCAUGGACCCCCCCCCCCCUCUGGGUGCAGGAUUUUAGCAUUACUCACACUGUACUGCUCAUAUUGUGGCAGCAGAGGCCCCCCUGACUGUAUCCAAACACAGCUUUGGCAGAACUGGACCUGUGUACACACAGACCGGAUCACAGUUACCAACACCAGGCCAACCGGAGCGGGUCACACGGUCUCUGCAGGUUCACCAGAGGGUCUGUCAGACUCUCAGGGGUUUUCAGUCACGAGCUCAGAGGGAGAAAAGUCCCUCUGUUCCACCUAAUCCGGAGGGAAAUGCUGGCUCUCUGCUCCCAUAAGCUGGAGGUGAAGUCCUCUGGAAGUCAUAUGUCUGGUUUCAAACGAGUACAAAUGGUUUAAAGACCAGGAUCUGUGCCUCUGAGCGGGUCAGAGACGCCACAAUGGACCUGAGAGGUUCAACAAACUGAAGAAGUCUUUCCAGAACAUUCUUGGUUCCUGAAACCUUCAGAUGACUGCAGCCUGACAUCCUCCACCAUCCGGUCUGAGUGCAGAUGCCCUCCCAUCCAGCAGAGUCCCAGGUUGUAAAUCCCUCCCCAGCAGAUCCGUACAACACCAGAAUCCUCUGAACCGAGAUCCAGUCAGUGACGUGCGGUCAGGGUUCACACAGAACCUCCGCCUCUAACGAAGCCCCUACCCGCCCGCGGUUCUCCUGCUCCCUCCGUCCGGAUCUCCUGC